rnacentral:rRNA from 1 species
GACGAAGGUGGCGAGCGUUGUUCGGAAUUACUGGGCUUAAAGCGCAUGUAGGCGGCCCGUUAAGUGCCUUGUGAAAUCCCUCGGCUUAACCGAGGAAUGGCUGGGCAUACUGGCGGGCUUGAGGCAAGUAGGGGCGCGAGGAACUCUUGGUGGAGCGGUGAAAUGCGUAGAUAUCAAGAGGAACGCCGGUGGUGAAGACGUCGCGCUAGGCUUGUCCUGACGCUGAGAUGCGAAAGCCAGGGGAGCAAACGGG